AGAGUUUGAUCAUGGCUCAGAACGAACGUUGGCGGCGUGGAUGAGGCAUGCAAGUCGGGGGAAUCCCAGCAAUGGGGGAACCGGCGUAAGGGGCAGUAAGGCGUGGGUACCUACCCCGGGGUCCGGGAUAGCCGUCCGAGAGGGCGGGUAAUACCGGAUGACCUCGGGAGAGCAAAGAUUUAUCGCCCCGGGCGGGGCCCACGUGAUAUUACCUGGUUGGCGGGGUAACGGCCCACCAAGGGGGAGAUGUCUAGCGGGUGUGAGAGCACGACCCGCGCCACUGGCACUGAGACACUGGCCAGACACCUACGGGUGGCUGCAGUCGAGGAUCUUCGGCAAUGGGCGCAAGCCCGACCGAGCGACGCCGCGUGUGCGACGAAGGCCUUCGGGUUGUAAAGCACUGUCGAGGGGGAGAAACGCCGCAAGGCUUGAUCUAUCCCUGGAGGAAGCUCGGGCUAAGUUCGUGCCAGCCGCCGCGGUAAUUC
rnacentral:rRNA from 1 species